GAGGUUCAGAGGCAUAAAGGUCAUUUGCUUCAGUUAUAAAGGCCUGGGCAGGUUUGGAAUGGUCAGCAGGGCCCUUUAUGUCUCUCUAG
ensembl:miRNA Mir7064 microRNA 7064